CAGGAUGUAGUUUAAUAAAAAUAUUAAUUUUGGAGAUUAAAAAAAGAGUUGUAAGCUCUCAUCCCGA
rnacentral:tRNA from 1 species